UGUCUUGGGCUGCACACGUGCUACAAUGGCCGGUACAAUGAGCUGCGAUGCCGUGAGGUGGAGCGAAUCCCAAAAAGCCGGUCUCAGUUCGGAUUGGGGUCUGCAACUCGACCCCAUGAAGUCGGAGUUGCUAGUAAUCGCAGAUCAGCAUUGCUGCGGUGAAUACGUUCCCGGGCCUUGUACACACCGCCCGUCACGUCACGAAAGUCGGUAACACCCGAAGCCGGUGGCCCAACCCCUUGUGGGAGGGAGUCGUCGAAGGUGGGACUGGCGAUUGGGACGAAGUCGUAACAAGGUAGCCGUACCGGAAGGUGCGGCUGGAUCACCUCCUUUCUAAGGAGCUUCUUGGCUGCGUAAGCGGUCCAGGCCAGUUCAUCGGCGAGUGUCCGGUGCUGGUUGCUCAUGGGUGGAACGUUGACUAUUCGGCGCGAUCAGGGAUGUUCAUUAGUACUGCUUCGGUGUGGAACGUGGAUCGGGUCUGGUCGGGUUGGGCGCGCUGUUGGGUUCUCAGGGAACGGCUGUGCUGUUUUCUUGAGUGUUGGUUGUUUGAGAACUGCAUAGUGGACGCGAGCAUCUGUGGCCAAGUUUUUAAGGGCGC
rnacentral:sRNA from 1 species